CAAAAGCUGGGAAAGUAGUUAAAAUUUAAUUCAGAAUCUCAAAUAAUAUAAUACACAAAAUAACUGUUUCCAAGUGUCGUUGUCUGAUGGCGUCAAUAUUGGGUAGCUUUUCAAAUGUAAUACACAACUGCAUAUGGCAUUUCAGAACAGGUACUCAUGGCUACAGCAACUUUGCUGAAGUUAGUUAACAUCUAGAAUCCUGCAAAUUCCUAGUUUAACCAUGCAAAAGAGGAAUAAAUUAAGUGCUGCAAUGAGAAUUUUACUAUUCCUUCUAACAGUAUGUUCCCCUUUAACUUUGUUUACAAUUAGGUGAUAAGGUGAUACUGAAAAGUCGGGUCUACUCUGAGCAUAUAAUAGAGUACGUUGCCUAUAUUACUGAGAUAUGUAAUGAAGAUGUUACUCUUCAACUGAAUGCAGACUUUGAACAGGCUUACAACUUGGAACCCAUGGAUGUGGAGUUCGUUCACUGCAGGAUUACUAGCAGGCGAUGCCAGUUGGCAGUUGAGCAAGCUAUCUACCUGGG